CCUACGGGGGGCUGCAGUGGGGAAUAUUGCACAAUGGGCGCAAGCCUGAUGCAGCCAUGCCGCGUGUGUGAAGAAGGCCUUCGGGUUGUAAAGCACUUUCAGCGGGGAGGAAGGCGGUGAGGUUAAUAACCUCAUCGAUUGACGUUACCCGCAGAAGAAGCACCGGCUAACUCCGUGCCAGCAGCCGCGGUAAUACGGAGGGUGCAAGCGUUAAUCGGAAUUACUGGGCGUAAAGCGCACGCAGGCGGUCUGUCAAGUCGGAUGUGAAAUCCCCGGGCUCAACCUGGGAACUGCAUUCGAAACUGGCAGGCUAGAGUCUUGUAGAGGGGGGUAGAAUUCCAGGUGUAGCGGUGAAAUGCGUAGAGAUCUGGAGGAAUACCGGUGGCGAAGGCGGCCCCCUGGACAAAGACUGACGCUCAGGUGCGAAAGCGUGGGAGCAAACAGGAUUAGAUACCCUAGUAGUC
rnacentral:rRNA from 1 species